ensembl:miRNA cja-mir-130b cja-mir-130b
UGGCAGGCCUGCCUGAUACUCUUUCCCUGUUGCACUACUGUGGGCCACUGGAAAGCAGUGCAAUGAUGAAAGGGCAUCGGUCAGGUACCGCCUGCUA